rnacentral:tRNA from 1 species
CAUUAAGUAACUAAAAGUAUAGUAUUGGUCUCUUAAACCAAAAAUAGUAAAUAACAAAUACUCUUAAUGG